CAAUUAGCCGUCUACCCCCAAAAUGGAGUAUAGGCGUGUUCAGCUCGACGAGCUCCACAAGGUCGCAAAGUUACAUUAAUAAGUGAGCGUUAUACUUGGGUGGUACCCCUUGCCAGUAAGAGCAAACUGAAGGAUGAAUCACUUAUUUCAUGAAGCAAAUACAGUCGGGGAAACUAUGUAUAACUUUUGACAGAUACAGGUCAGAGUGAAUCACAUCUUGAAAGUACUUACCAAAUUACAAGCAGAAUCAACCAUAUAUUGCAGGAAAUGGAAUGCAAGAUGGAAUAAUGUUGCUGAGUAAUAAAUACGUGCAAGUUUCUUUGACUUUAUUUGAACUUUAUAUGUUGUUGACAAUACGGCAUGGCAUGGUACGUACAUUCAUAUAUACUCUUGCUACUCCUUCUAAAGUAGCAUGUAUCUCUUUACGUAAAGAAAAAAAUUAUAUAACAGAUAUCUUUCAAUAAUUGAGUAUGACAAUCAAAAUCAAAAUGGGAGUAUAUUUGCCAUUAUUUGAACCUGUUCAAACAUUGAUGGGAAAAUUACCACCAAAAAUUAUGAAGUAGAAAAAUUGAAUGGAUACAUUAAAGAAGUUAACCAGCGUAGAGUCAAAUACUAAGGCAAAUAACAAGAACGUACUCUGUAAAGAAAUGCAAUUACUUUGUCGCAAGAUAUAUCUGGAAAUAUGCUUAAGCAUUUAUUCACACAGUGAUGAGGAAAUUACAACAAACAAAUUAUGAAGUAGAAAAAUAUAAUAGAUACAGUGAACAUAUUAUCUAAAGAAGAAGAUUAUUAAAUUAGAUAAGUUUAUUUUGCAAAUCAUCGACUAUAAAAACAAUGUAAUGCCAGCAUACUUUAAGUAAAUAAAUUAGCAGGAGA